AGCAGGGCUUCGAGACAUAAUGUUCCAUGAUUUCUAUACAGAGAUCUUAUGGAAUGGAUUGAUUUAGAUAUUUACCUGAUCUCCAUGUUACUACUGUAAAUGUCAAGGGCCUUUUAGUUUUGGUUGUUUUCGGAAACCUUUUGUUAUUAUUAUGAUCAAGCGUUUGUUGUGACAUUGGAUUUGGGCUUGCAUAAGAGUUACAGGCGUAGGACUUUUAAGGGUCGUGUCCUUAUUCUCAACAUAACGCUGGGAUUUGAUGAUAAGGGUUAGUUACCAUGGGUAUAAAUCUGGCAAAGUGCAUGUCAUACAAAACGUGGCAUUCAAUUCCAAUCAUGUGUUGACACCUGAACCACCUGAAAGUGAGAUAUGGAUUACAAUGAAUAAUGGCAGCUUAUCAAUCUUUAACAAAUUCACACUGAAACUUUGAAAGGAUUAAGACAAGUUAGUUAUUUUCUGUUUCAGCAUGUUCAGGGUUUGUGGGGAGGUUCACAGACAUCCUCAGGGAGGAUACGAAGUAAUGAAAUAUCCGGAUGAAUAAAAGAGACAGUCAUAUGUGCAGCAUCAAUGCAAAGAAAGACCAUAGAAGAGAAGCAAUGAGGAACAAGAGAAGAGCAACAAAACUAAAGUCCUGCUUGAGAUCCCUGGAUGAGUACUCCUGGUGAACAAUCUGGAAGAACCAGAGAAGGGAGUCCUUAACAGAGCGUGCACCCCUUCAGAUAUCAGGGGUGAUUUGCAGACAGCGAUGACGAGGGUCCUGUUAUUUCAAUGGAGGCCUACCGAGAAGUUGUAUGCCAAAUGGUACUGGGACACACAAAGGCUGGUCUGGUUAAUGUGAGAAGACCAACCAAUGCCAAGCUGGAGUGGGAUCCUUCGAGGACAUUCAAGAAAUUCUUGUCUUGAGCCAUGUGGUAAACACUUGAAAGGAAUGAUAAAUUGGACUUAUUGUCUUUCAAUGUGGACACAAACACCAAAUGGAAAGUUCACAAUUCUACUAACACUAUGCAGCAGAGAUAGUCCAACUGGCACACCCUCAUCCUGGUUCCUGUUCAUCCAUGGCAAUAAAGAAAGAAAAGGAGGAUUGAGGGAAAGUAAGUUCUCUGAACUGGUGAACAUAAUCCGUGGGUACUGUCACACAAACAGUUAUCACACUCCGUUAUGAGUAUUGAAGAAUAGGAUGAAAUUGCAUACUGCAUCAGGAACCAUCAUGUGCGAUAUACUAUAGGCAUAUGAAUAAAUGAAAUUGAUAAUUUGA